CCUACGGGAGGCAGCAGUGGGGAAUAUUGCACAAUGGGCGCAAGCCUGAUGCAGCCAUGCCGCGUGUAUGAAGAAGGCCUUCGGGUUGUAAAGUACUUUCAGCGGGGAGGAAGGUGUUGUGGUUAGUAACCGCAGCAAUUGACGUUACCCGCAGAAGAAGCACCGGCUAACUCCGUGCCAGCAGCCGCGGUAAU
rnacentral:rRNA from 1 species